UGAAAGUGUAAGCAAUACUAGCAGGC
rnacentral:piRNA from 1 species